AAAAAGCUAUGUCUCACACACAGGAAAAGCAAGAACAGUUAUCUGAUACCUCCUGGUAACUGGUGAAAGUUCAGUUGGCUCUUAGCUACAAUUGCUGCCCAGUCUGCAGGCAAAGGCUUGAAAUUAGCGGUAAUAUAAUUAAACAUAAGGAGCUACUGUACCACCAUGGUAAUCAUGAUUUUCAGAGUAUUGGGGCUUAAACUAUGGGUCACAGGCAGGAUUUCUCUUAAACAAGCUUUUCUCUUUCAGGCUCCAUGAAAAAUUUCACACCGUGAGCCCUUAUUUAGAUUUACAAAGUGACCUGAUAUUCAGCACUGAACAUGUAGGGCCAAGAGAUGUUGGAUGCCUGCUCUGCACUUUCAAAACUCAGGACAUAAAAUAAUGGCUUAAGAAAAACACCACAUUUUCAGCAGAACUGAAAAUGCAGAAGGAAUGAGACUAAUGUCCUCUGAGAAUACAAGAAAAUAGAAGAUGUUCUCAAUAUGAAAGAAAUCAGACACACAAAUUAAUCAAUGUAGAGGCUUGCUGAAAGAAUAAACCUAAGUAUCAUUGUAUUGCCAUGAUUAAAAAUAGCAAAAGAUAAUGUAUCACUGAA